CAUCUGUCUUCAGGUCUGCACAGCACGGGAGCCACCCACAAGCUACCUGCACCUGCAGGCAUUGGCCAUGGUGGCCAGGUGGGCUGCAGGGCGUCUGUCAAACUAGGUGGAAACCGAUGGAGACAAAGAGCCCUGGGUCUCUGAAACUGGAAACUGGCACCCAACUGAGCUGUAAUCCUGGAGGCCUACAAGAGAACAUGGACUCUUCACAGAACUACUGCCAGGCUGAUGUCCUCAGAAAACCCGGGUGAACCUGAAGCACGUAUGUGCAAGUUAGUGAGACCAGACCCCCGCUUUGGGACAAGAAGAGACCCCAUGCUUGUCUGGAGCCUCUGCGGACUCUGUCAACAGUGGCUGGGGUUGCUGAUCAGAGGAGGCUGAUGAGACACACACCUGGCAGCAAUUGCAGCCAAGGCCUGCCAGCAGUUUCCAGGACUUGGCUGGGCUUGCAGCACACCUGGCUGGUCUGCAGCUCUGAAUGGGAGCCUAGCUUCUCCAGCAGCUUCCUGAGUGAGCAAAGUCCAACUGGCAUUCAUCAUCUCCACUCUAUGCCAGCAACCUGCCCCACAGACAGCAGGACUUGAACACAGGCACACCCCAUGAGGAAGCCCAGCAGAGCAGGAUGACCCAGAGAAUGGAGAAUUCUGCAUCACCCACUAUCCAGCAUUCAGGAACAGUCAUCAGAAAAAUGACUUUUGAGUUCACAAAACUUCAGCUUGGAAGCCAAUGAAAAUCUAAAAUACCAUCCUCCAGAGACAACAAAGGAGUCACAUGGCAGGCAGAGUUCUUACCCACACGAGAGCCAGAAGAGCAGACAUUGGACCACCAAGAGAGAGCAGCAUCAACCCAGCGGGGCCUGCCUGCUGUAGAGAGGAUGGGGUGCUUGUCCCAGUGCUGGGGAGGACAUAGCCUGACUUCAGUAUCUCCCAUGAGUGCCACCAGCGGCUGCCAUGGACUGCCCCCUUCUCUCUGAGGCUCUGUGGUCUACCGCAUCGUGCUUUCUGUAGUGCCAUGGGACCUGAUGAGCAGGAAGGGUUGGACCAAGGGGAAGGAGGAGA